rnacentral:rRNA from 1 species
GGAUCAAUUGAUUGGUCAUGCCGUUGGUAUGUACUGGUCAUAUUGGUUCUCACCUUCUAAGGAACCAUAAUGUCAUUAAUUUGAUGUUUUGGGGAAUUAGGACUGUUACCUUGAAAAAAUUAGAGUGUUUAAAGCAGGCUAACGCUUGAAUACAUUAGCAUGGAAUAAUGAAAUAGGACAUCGCAUUCUAUUUUGUUGGUUUCUAGGAUCACCGUAAUGAUUAAUAGGGAUAGUUGGG